rnacentral:rRNA from 1 species
GACGGGGGGUCCAAGCGUUGUUCGGAAUCAUUGGGCGUAAAGCGGGCGUAGGUGGCCAUGUAAGUCAGGAGUGAAAGCCCUGGGCUCAACCCAGGAAGUGCUUUUGAUACUGCAUGGCUUGAAUGUGGGAGAGGGUAGUGGAAUUCCAGGUGUAGUGGUGAAAUACGUAGAUAUCUGGAGGAACACCGGUGGCGAAGGCGGCUACCUGGCCCAACAUUGACACUGAGGCCCGAAAGCGUGGGGAUCAAACAGG